AUUGAACGCUGGCGGCGUGCCUAACACAUGCAAGUCGAGCGGUAACAGGUGUAGCAAUACAUGCUGACGAGCGGCGGACGGGUGAGUAACGCUUGGGAAUCUGCCUAUUAGUGGGGGACAACCCGGGGAAACUCGGGCUAAUACCGCAUACGCUCUACGGAGGAAAGCCGGGGACCGCAAGGCCUGGCGCUAAUAGAUGAGCCCAAGUCGGAUUAGCUAGUUGGUAGGGUAANGGCCUACCAAGGCGACGAUCCGUAACUGGUCUGAGAGGACGACCAGUCACACCGGAACUGAGACACGGUCCGGACUCCUACGGGAGGCAGCAGUGGGGAAUAUUGGACAAUGGGCGAAAGCCUGAUCCAGCGACGCCGCGUGGGUGAAGAAGGCCUGCGGGUUGUAAAGCCCUUUCAGUGGGGAAGAAAAGCCUCGACCUAACACGUCGGGGUCUUGACGUAACCCAUAGAAGAAGCACCGGCUAACUCUGUGCCAGCAGCCGCUGUAAU
rnacentral:rRNA from 1 species